UACGUAGGGGGCAAGCGUUGUCCGGAAUCAUUGGGCGUAAAGCGCGUGUAGGCGGUUCGGUAAGUCUGCUGUGAAAGUCGGGGGGCUCAACCCUCGAAUGCCGGUGGAUACUGUCGGGCUAGAGUGCGGAAAGAGGCGAGUGGAAUUCCUGGUGUAGCGGUGAAAUGCGCAGAUAUCAGGAGGAACACCGAUUGCGAAGGCAGCUCGCUGGGACGUAACUGACGCUGGAGACGCAAAAAGCGUGGGGGAGCAAAACAGG
rnacentral:rRNA from 1 species